rfam:Triticum urartu cultivar G1812 contig720258, whole genome shotgun sequence.
GAAGUACUCCCUCCGUCCGAAAAGGUUUGUCCCAAACUUGUCCCUCAAAUGGAUGUAUCUGGCUCUAACUUGGUGCUAGAUACAUCCAUUUGAGGGACAAGCUUUUUCGGACGGAGGGAGUAUAUG